UUUCAGGGAUGGGAAUCGAACCCACAGUGUUCCGCUUACCAGGCAGAUGCCAUUUCCAAUAGGUUUCCCUAGU